rnacentral:lncRNA from 1 species
UUUGUUUGUUGUACUCAAUCUCUGCUAUAACUAUGCAUUUUAAUGAACAGCUCUAAUAGCAAAAGCUUGCUGGUUUGGUAGAUACCAGUGGUCCAAUAAAUGCCGAAAUACCUGUGUCUAUGCUUGCUUGUGUUCUUGAACACAUUAAUUGGCGAUAAAUGACAUUAUAAUGGUAUGGAUUCAUACUGGACGAAGAAUAAUGAACUGAGUAUAUUAAUUUAUAAGAAGCGUGCAAUUCAUGUAGGAUCAGACUUGUCUUUGUCUUCAUUUAGAUGCUGCUAUAUAAAGGUCAUAUUUGCAGUUUUCAUCACCUCCUUAAGUUAUUUUGCUCUUUUUGUUUUCUCAAGUUUUAUUGGCGUAACAUAUGAUGAAGGCAGAACCAUUAUUUAUCUUCUGUUAAAAUCUAAUAUGUAGACUGUUGCAUGGGGCGCAAAUUAGGCUGACCUGCAAAUUGACCAUAAUUGUUUGCAAGUGCUCAAACAUCUCUCGAGAUCUUUACACUUGUUGAAUCUAUUCUGUUGCAUUAUUAUCAACAUUAUCACAAUAGGUAUUAUACUAACCUGCAACUCUUUGCAGGCCAAAGCAGGAGCUGGUUCAGCAACUCUCUCAAUGGUUAGUUUCUUUUCACCCCUUACCAUCACUAUCACAAUAGCUUAUUAUAUUGUUUGGUUACCAUAAAUCUAAAAAUUGAAAGAACUUGACUAAUGUAUGUUAGAAAUGCGCAGGCAUAUGCUGCCGUUAAGUUUGCAGAUGCAUGCCUCAGGGGCUUAAGAGGAGAUGCUGGUGUUGUUGAAUGCGCGUUCGUGUCUUCUCAGGUAGGUAUCUUUUAUCCAAGUUAUCGUCUUUUUCCCUUUCAGCAAUUAGAAUAAUGUUCAUCUUAUAUUUUUGUCUUGUACAGGUGACCGAACUUCCAUUCUUUGCAACAAAAGUACGACUUGGCCGCAAUGGUAUAGAUGAAGUAUACUCCCUUGGCCCGCUAAAUGAGUACGAGAGGUAUGCAAUUGCCAGUUUUGAUAAUUUAAUAUAAGAAUCGAAUAUGAAUACUCAUUCAAACUAGUGAUGAGCUUAAUGUGAACUAAACACAUUGUCGCCUGAGAUUUAAUCUGAUUGUGGAACAUUGAAUUUGAAAGAGUUGGGAUAUUUGAUUGACAGGAUUGGAUUGGAGAAAGCAAAGAAAGAGUUGGCAGGAAGCAUUGAGAAAGGAGUUUCCUUCAUCAGAGGCUGAAGAGAUGCCAAUUACAAUUAGUUUUAAUAGAAACAUUCUGUCUCUUAUAGAUUACUUGUCCCAUAUGUUCUCCUAGAGAUUGAAGUUGAAACCACACUUCUUUUUAUACUAAUAAAACUAUAUCGCCAUCAUGUCGAUAUUUAAUGCACAACCAAAAUGGUUGGAUUAGUCGUCGUUAGAGCAUCUUUUAUGCAAUUGACGAUUUUUCAUAUUUAUAUUUAAUUUUGAUUAAAUGCAUUUUGGUACUUUGUUAUUUUUCGAUAGAUCUCAUUUUUGUUCCCUACUACUGUAAGUUUUUGUCACUCUGGAAAUAAAAUUAGAAUAACUCUCGUUAAUUAAAGUUUAAAUGUUUAAAGUCAUGCGUUUUAAGUACUUGAAAAGUCCGCUCUAGUGUUUAUAAACGGGCACUGAUUCACAGUUGUGGUAAUGAAUAGACAUCAACAAGCGAUGAGACAAGGGAAGAGGUGUUACAUUUAAAAGGAAAAAGAAUAUUUAGAACUAAUAUUUUUGGCAAUUCUUUUUUAAAAGAAAUGUAUUGUGAAUGUAUACAAUUUAAAUGAAGUGUUUUUUUAUUUGUUUUAUUGGUUUUUCUUUUCAAUGAUGAGAGGUGAAGAAAUUAUUAGCAAAGUGAAGAGGAGUGCUCCUUGUUUGCAAUCAUGUCUUGCCUUCUAAUGCUUUUGCUCAUCACUUUGACAUAACAACCAACCAGACAUUUGCACAACAUGUAUGAAUAUGCAUCUUUAAUUCACUUUUUCUUUGAAAAUUAACCUUAGCUUGAGUAAUGUUCAAUUUAGAUGUUUCUUCUUUAUCAUUAUCUGAUAUGAUGCUUGGAGGCCCAUUUAGUGGAAUACUAAUAAUACUCCCCACAUUCCUCCGCAAAUUCAUGAUUAAUUUCAAAGUCAACAGUUAAUUAACACUAAUUCAGAGUAUUAAACAGGUGUUACAUUCUUUAAGCUUCAACUUAUGAUUUCUUGUUCAUAGAAUAAAAUUUAUUUAAUCAUGUGAUGGGAGAUGGUUGUAAUUUUGCAUAGUAUCAGUACAUGUACGUCUCACAGUAGCAGAACAAACCCCAAAAACUAGACACAAAACACCCAGCAAAGUGCAUACUCCUAAGUCCUAAAACAAAUCAUCACCACAUGCUUCAUAAGACAAGGCAGUCUGUGAACUAAUAAUGCUUCCUUUUUGUUUCAUCAUGAGACUCCAAAACAGUAACUUCUCGACUAAGAUCAUGGUUCACGUAUCUCUAUUCUCCUUCGAGAAUGAUGGUUGCUGAUGCUCGGUUAAGAUCCGGACAACUUCCCGCAUCGUGGGACGCUUUGGAGCCUCUUCUUCAGUGCACAGCAUGGCGACAUUGAGCACGUGGAUUACUUCGUCGAGGGGGACUGAGGAGAGUCUUUGAUCGACGAUUUUAUGUAUUUCUUCCUUUUUUGUGUCUGUCAUGUUUCUAACCCAUUGAACUAAGUCGACACUGUUGCUUAGUUCUAUAUCUGGAUUCCUACCGCUAACAAGUUCCAAGAGAACGACACCGAAACUAUAUACAUCCCAUUUCUCGUCGGCAUUCUGUGUGUAGGUGUGUUCUGCAAGAAUAUCACAUUCUUUAGUUUCUAUUAGAAGUAUUCAAAGUAUGAGCAAUUCAGACAUUCUUCAAGAGAGAUCCAAAUAUGGAAAGUUAAUACUACCUACCAAGCUUCUCAAGGAUUGUCCAAGAUCAUAUGCUAUAAAAACGUUCCGAUUCUAAAUGAAUAUUAAUUAGCUCUGGCGACUGUCAUACCUGGCUCAGUAGCUGAAAUAUCCGAUGCCCCUGAAUCUUGUAAGAACUUCGCAAGCCCGGAAUUAGCAAUCUGAGCAUCAAAGUUGGUGUCAAGCAUAAUGUUGUUCGACUUCACAUUUCGAUGAACAAUGGGCGGUGAGCAAUGGUGGUGAAGAUAGCAAAGUCCAUUCGCAGUUCCAAUGGCUAUCUUGUACCUUGUCUCCCAGAGCAAGUGACCUCCUUUCUUGCCAUGAAGAACCUCAUAGAGACUCCCAUUAGGCAUGUACUCAAAUACCAAAAGAUUAGUUUCAUGGUUUGAACAGAGACCCAAUAAUCUAACGAUGUGACGGUGUCGAAUCCUCCCAAGAGCUUGUAUCUCAGCAUCGAACUUGUUGUCACGAGUACACCCAUUGCUCGUCUUUGGAAGCCUUUUCACAGUGAUCUGAUCACCACUUGGCAUCACUCCUGUAUAUACUGUGCCAUAACCUCCCUUUGCAAUAAGAUUUUCCUUUUUAAGGCAUUCCAAUAUCUCAUCAACCGAGAAGCCAAGCCGUUGGAAGGCUGUUAAUCUCCAUCCUCUAGACUCCCUUGCUCUCUUGAACCACCCAACUUUGAAGAUCAAUCCAACUGUCACUGCAACUAAGCAAAAGAAAAACCCAAAAGCUAGCAGGAGCCUGAGAGGAGUUGAGAGAGAUCCUUUCGUAUGUUCUUGUUGAUUGCUUGCAAGAAGCCCAUCUUUGCAAGGCCCCAAAUAUGGUCCACAGAGAUAAGGAUUGCCUAAAAAUGAUGUGUAAUUGAAGUACCCAAAUUGCCCAGUUCCCAGAACCAAACCAGAGAGAUUGUUAUAUGAAAAAUCAACAGAGGUUAGGCUCUGCAUAUUAACUAUGGAAGCAGGAAUAGGCCCAACUAAGUGGUUUCUUGAGAGAUUCAUAUAAUUCAAUAAUUUCAUGUUGGUAAUAUGGUUAGGAAUUUCACCAGAAAGCUCAUUUCCACUAAGAUCAAGAAAUAUCAAGUGUUUACACUCACUUAUCUCCGGCACAAUUGAACCAGAGAACUUAUUCUGGCUGAAAUUUAUUCGAGAUAGUUGCUGUAAUCUCCCAAUAUUUGAAGGAAUCUGACCAGAAAACUUAUUCCGAUCAAGAAGAAGCUUCUGGACAGCCACAAGGCUGCCUAUGGUUGGUGGCAAGGAUCCAGAGAGCAUAUUAUUCGAUAGACUUAUCUGAAGAAGAUUAACUGAGACUGAAUUGAUAAUCGGAAGUUCGCCGGAGAGAAAAUUGUCAUGCAAAUCAAUUUGAGUGAUAUUUGGCAAACCCAAAAGCCUCCUUGGAAUUGAUCCAUUAAGAGCGUUGCCCCACAGAAGUAUACGUUUAAGUGAAAGACAGUUCCCCAACGAUUCUGGAAUCAAACCAGACAAGGAAUUGUCCAUGGCGAUCAAAACUUCAAGCUUAUUCCCAUGGCAGAUUUCAGGAGGAAUCGUACCUGUCAGGUGGUUGAAAGCAAGGUCGAGAGUCCGAAGCAUUCCAUUCUUCCCCAAAUUUCGAGGGAUGGAACCAGUGAAAUUGUUGUUCCAUAAUUGCAAUAUUUCCAGCUUAGGGAGGUCGGCCAUGAACUCCGGUAUCUCUCCGGAGAGCUUGUUGUCGAAAAGUUGCAAUAGCCUCAAGUUCUUAAACACUGCAAAAGAGAUGGGUAUUUCACCAACAAGCAUAUUGCAUGAUAUAUCCAACUCUUCUAUGCUCUUCAAUCCUCCAAGCUCCAUCAACGAACCAGACAGAGCAUUUUGUUGAAGGUACAGUUCAGUGAGCUUCUGUAACUUUCCGAGCUCCCGUGGAAACUUUCCACUCAACCCACAGCUCGCGGCAUCCAACCGAACUAACUCCGACAAAUUCCCUAUCGUCGCCGGUAUUCCACCAACAAAUGUGUUGUAGUAACCAAUGAAAAGCUCCCGAAGCUUCGUCAAGUUUCCGAUAGCCGGCGGUAUUGGACCUUCGAGGUCAUUGCCGUGAAUCGCCAGAAACUCCAAGAACUGCAACCGCCCAACCUCCGGAGGAAUCCGACCGGUAAAGAAAUUACCCCCAAGAUGCAAAUAGCGGAGGUUGGGCAUUUCAGUGACCACUCUGGGGAAAUCACCGGUCAGAUUAUUAUUAUAAACAUCAAGAACCUGCAAGUUCUUGAGCCGCGAAAACUCGCUAGGAAUGGACCCAUUAAGGACGUUACUAGAGAGAUUAAGAAGCUGGAGAGACGAAAGGGAGGCAAUCUCUGGUGGGAUACCGCCGAAAAUUUUGUUGAGGCCGAAGGAAACAUUAGUGAGAAAGCGAAGAGAGGAAAUGUGAGGGGAAAUGGUGGCGGUGAGGUCAAGGGAAGAGAGGUCUAAGGCAACGACGUGGCGGCGGGAGUCGCAUGUGACACCGAGCCAGGAACAGUGGGCGUGAACGGCGGCAGGGUUCCAGGAGGAGAGAGAAGAAUGAGGGUCGUCAGAGAUGGAGGAUUUGAGAGAGAGAAGAGCUUGGGAUUCGGGAAGGAAAGCAGAGAAAGAAGGGGAAAAGUGAAAAUGGAGAAUCAGAAAAACAAGAAGAAGAAGCCAUAUUUGUUUGCAUAUAAUAUUUGAAGGUUGAAUAUUGGUGACACUGAUCAUUUCUUCUUCUUCUUCUACUUCUGCUUCUUCUUCUUCUUCUUCUUCUUCUUCUUCUUCUUCUUCUUCUUCUUUUUGAAUUCUGAUUUUCAGAGGAAGGAGAGGGAACUUAAAGACAAAACUACACUCACUCACAAUUCCCGUUUUCAAUAUUUAUAUUACUCAAAAUAUAUAUAUAAAAAAAAAGGUGAAUUUAGUACAUGAAAAUUAAAAUAUUUUAGGGUAUUGUAUUCUUAGAAGGUGGAAAUUGGAAUCUUAUCCUAUCAAAAUCAUUUCAUAUCACUUUGCUUCAAUAUACUCUUAACCAAUAACCUCAACUUUAAAAUAAGCAACCAAUCAAUAAUCCUUUACUUUUCUUAUUUCCUUUUUCUAAGUCUUCACGUUCCAAUUCUAUUCACUUUUUAAUACAAUUUAAACUCUAUUGUUUCUGAGAUCAAGUGAGACACACAGAAAUAUUAUCAAGUAUAAUUCCUUACUGUUCACAGAAAGAUUAUAAACUAUAUAUUUACUGUUAUUGUGUUAUCGUUCUAUUAGAGUUGCCUCUAACACAUAGUAAUAAUAGUAAUAAUAGUAAAUUUGAAAAAGAUCCAUGAUUCUAUGUAAUUGUAUUGGAACUUAAAUUGGCAUUCACAUCUGCUUAAAAGGAAAUUAAGAUAAGGAGUAGAUUGAAUUAGUAAAUAAAGUGAGUUGACAUCUAUUUCUUUAUCAUGCGUGUUUGGGAGAUUAACAUGAAAAAAAAGGUACAUAUAGGAACUUAAAAACAACAAAACACAAAUAUAUAUCAAUCGGUUCACUGUUAAUUCCUGCUUGUAAAAAACUUUAAAAAAAAAAGAUAUUUCACAUUUAAUUUCAAUUUAGUUUAUUAUGGUUUAGGAAAAUUAAAUAUAUAUUUUAGUUGAAAAUAAAAAGCAAAUAAAAUAUACUUUUUUAAAAGAACAAAAGUUGAAGUUUAACAUUUGAGUGGAUUACUUGAAAUCAAAAUAAAUGCAUUUUAGAAUGUAAUCAACUAAUUUGACAAAUUUUGAUAUAUUUGCAAAUUUUUUUAAAUUGUGUUAUAUAUUUAAUUAAUUUGAAUUUAAUUGUUAAAUUUGCAACAAUUCAUUUUUCUUUUUCUUUUUCUAAAAAACAAUAAAAAAAAGCAAAUAAACAGGAAGCAUACUCCAAAAUCAAAACUUAACCUUAAAAGAAUAAAAAUUAAAGGAUGAAUAUGAAACACGUUAAAAGAUUGUUUUUAAAAUCGUCACAAAAGUUGGAAUUUAAAUUAUGUUGUUUAUUUAAGAACAAAGGACAUUUAUAGGGUUUGAGUUCGUUUGAACUGAUUUGAGAGGAAAAAAAAUUUAAACUAUUGUGAAAAUUAUUUAAAAUACAUUUGAAAGACUAUUUUAAAUAAUUAACAAAUUCUCUAAUUUUUUCUAAAAGGAUAUAUAUUUUUUUAAUUAUAGAAAAUGUAUUUCAAUAAAUAUUUUAGUUUAUUAAGUUAGAUUUGAAAAUGACUUAUAAAAUAAUAAUGAUGAUAAAUUAAAAAAAGAAGAACACAAUUAGACAUAAUAACUUUUAAGCUGACCUAUGGAGUAAUUUUGUUCAGAAAUAAAUAGAUGGGCAGAAUUUAAAGUAACAAAAUAAAGAAAAGGAAAUGACAAAAGGAGACAAAGAAAAAGUAAAAACAAAAAGAAAGAAAAUAUGGAAAUAACGUAAGAGAUAAAAGAGAGGGUAAAAACAAGAAACUUUCAUUACUCAAUAGUGAUAGAAUAUAUUUCCAACAAAAAUAAACUAAUCCAAAAUUCUCACAAAACGCCUCAAUUAUUGUAUUUAUAGAUAGACAUUAGAAGUUAUCUUGAAUUCAAUUUUCGUGUUCGUCUACUUUUUUCGAACGAUCAAUAAAAUAUGGUAAAAAUGACGUUUUUUCUUACAACAAAGAAGUUAUAACUACAUCCAAUAUACAAAAUGGUUUCUUCCAAAUCUCUCCUUCCUUUUUUUUUUUUUUAUUCUCCUCCUUCUCACAUAUUCACUAAAUGGAGGGAUGAGGUUAAGAGAGUAUCAAAAAAGAAAAAUAUAAAAUAAGCAAUUGAAAAGUGGAAAAAUGUUAAGCCACAAUUUGUAUUUUGCGACAAAUUAUUUUGGUAUUAUGUGAUUUAAUUGAGUGGUACAAAUAUAGCUUUAGUUUAUAAUGCAUCUGAAAAAUGGAAGAAAAAGACUUGACAAGACCCUUUUAGCAAAAACUUACUACAAUUAUUUAGUACCUUAAUUCAAUGAUUUUGCCAUAUCUUACUAAAAUACAUGAAUAUGUAAUAGAAACUUAUUUGUUGCUUACAAAGACUCAAAGUCAAAUUCUUUCCUUUAUUGAUGUUGUUAGCACUUCUCAAAGGCCCAUUGGACUCAACAGCCUUAGCCUUUCACCCCAAGCCAUCAUCAAACUCAGGUUAUAAUAAUUUGAAGUAUAUGGCUUUUUUUACAACAUAAGUGCAUCUUAUAUACGUACGUAUAGAGAAAAAAAAAAAAAAUCAAUUGUUCACAACUGUUUCACUACAUUAUCAUGGAGCAACAAUUUUAAUUAUAUGGAACCAUUAUUAUUAGUACAUUGCUUUAAUUUUACUUGCAUUACAUCUACAUAAGAAAAUGGAAAGUUGAAGUUGAAUAAAUGACAAAAUAGUAUACUAUAUAAUAACUUCAUAAUUGUAUGUAAAUAAAUUAUGAGAAAAAUGUAAAUCUUUUUUUUUUUUUUUUUUUGACGGAAGAGAAAACAUGUUAAGUAAAUUACGUUGUCCAGCUCAACUCCCAUACCCACAAUGGGCUCCCUUUUCUUUUCCUAUUGGGCUUUAGUUUUCUCAAGGUUCAAAUCUCAACAUCAGGUUGAAUCAACGGCCCGUCAAAUUAAGCCCACUUCCAACAAGGAGACCAAAAGUAUUCAUCCUUCGAUAUAAAUAUACUAAUAAAUUGACCAAUUUAAUUAUUAAAAUAUAAAUAUAAAUUAAAAAACCAUUAACACAAAAAAAAAAAAAGGUAAAUUGAAAUGAUAGUGUUGACCAAUUAAUCUAGUUUUAUUUAAAAGUAAUUAUUGCUUAGUAUGAAAUAAAUGUUAGUCAAAGAAGUGAUAUAGUAGGUAGGCGAAGUAGCAUGAGUUGUUCAACAUUUUUCAAGACAACUAUUUUUAUUACAAGAGCUAAGAGUGUAGCUCGUUUAAAUCAUAAUAUUUAAUUUUGCAACUUCAAUGUUUUAAUUUUUUACCCAAUCAACUAUGAAAUAAAAUUUUUAUUUUACAUUUUAUAAAAUUAUUAAAUUCAUUGCCAUCAUUCUAUUUAACGUUUUUAUAUAUAUAUAUAUAUAUAUAAAAUGGAAGUUGUUACAUUUUGCAAGACAAUUAAAUAAGAUAGAGAAUAUGAAUUUAUGAGCAAUACUUUAAAUGAACUAUAUUGUGUCAGUUGACUUAGUAUUAAAUGCAAAGCGCAUAACGUGCUAAGAAAGGAGAUAUAGAAUAGACAUUUUUAAUUGUAGCAAGAUAAGAAAAACAAAUGAAUUAAAAGAAAGGGAAAACAAAAAAAAUAAAAGUCCGAAGAGAAAUGAUGAACAUAAUUAAAGGAAAAUAGUUGCCAUUUGUUAAUGUUUCCAAUCAUGUCUUAAGCUCCCCUUUCAUCCAUCAAAUUCAAUCAUGCUGCUGCUGCAUACACACAUGCAUGUAUUAUAAAUCAUUCCUCUCUUUUCUUUUCUUUUCUUUUCUUUGAGGGAUUUAAUUAUUUGAUUUAUAUUUCUCCUUAUGAUUUAGACCAGUGGGCCCCAUUUGUUACAAUCUCCAUGAUAUCUGCUCUCAUUAUAUACUUUAUACAUUAUGGUAUUUAAUUCAUCUAAAACUUUAUAUAUGCUUUAUUUUAUUUUAAUUGCUAUGUCAAUGUGUAUUGAUGCUGUUAAGUCAAAUUUAGAGGGAAAAGGAAAAGGUUAUUUCAAGGUUCAAUAAUUAUCCUUUCUUCUUUUUUCAAAAGGGACAGCAUAUAAUGAAGACCCAUUUCUCUCUUCCAUUUGCCUUUUCAUCCCUUUCUUCAUAACUUUUAUUCUUCUUCUUUUUCUCCUUUUAAUUACUUGUUAAUGAAAGAUAGGACUCUAUCAUUUAACUGAAAAAAAAAAACCUAAACUAUAAGUUUGUAGAUAAAACCGUAUUAAACUCAAAGUCCAUUAGUAUUUAAGAGGAAUUAUUAUGGAUAAAUUUAUAAAUUUUAGAUAAUCUUUAUUUUCUAAAAUACAUUUUUAGUUUCUAAUAGGAUACCAAAUUUUACUAUUUUAGAUUUAAUAGUUCGAUAAGCGGACUUUUGGAAUCUUAAAUCAAACUUCACGAGGGAAACAAAAGGCAACACAUUUUUUGUUCACAAACCAUUUUAAAAAGUGAAUUUCGCCAUAUGAGAAAAUUAUAGGAAAAAGAAACAUUAUAUUAAAAAAAAAAGAUGAAAAAAAAAAGGGGAUAAGAUCAACAUCAAUCAAUAUUAAAUAGUGUACGUAAAUCAAAUAAUUAAUAUGAUAAGUGUUUAAUAGAGAAUAUUGUUAGCUAAAUUAAAUGAAUUUAGUCCUUUUUUGUUGUUGUUGUUGGAAAUAAAAAUGUGAGUUGAUCUGUGUCUUUCACUUUCAUGUUUUGAUUGCCCAUUCUGAUUUGAUAAUAGUAUGAAACCAACAAAUAUUUCAUUUUCAAGAAAAUAUAUAUAUUCCUAUCCAUGUUUUUUUACUUUUGACUGAAAGAGCAAAAAAAAAAAGGAAAAAAUAUUGUAUUAUAAACCAUAUAAUAUGGAAUGAAUUGAUAAGCUUGAAUGAAUAACAUAGUUGAAAGAGCAUCCUAUGACAAAUUAAAUAUUCCAUAUCCAUUCUUUUCAGCAGAUUAACCCAAUUAGCUUAACCUUACCCUAUACAAAUAUACUAUUUAUUUAUUUUUAUUACUUUUUAAAAAUAUUUUUCAAAUACUAUGAAAAUCUCAAAAGGAAAAAAAAAAAGCAUUUCAAAUUCUAUGUAGUACUUCUCAAAAUCUCCAUAACAUGUAAGGAAUUUCAAUAAUAUAUGUUGAGAUCAUGCCAUUAUUUUGUGAAUCUUAAAAAAGAAAAACUAAGAUCUCCAAAUGAGCAAGUGACAUGCAAAGAUUUGAUCAAAACAAACAUAGGAUACUUUUUUUUUUAUCAAUAAUAUAUGUUUAAUUAGUCAAGUAUUUAUAUUAUAAUUAAUUACUUCUUCCUCUCUAAUGAUUGGAUAACAAUCAAUAUCUUGUUCUGAUGUUUUGUUUAGGAUAAGCUAGUGUUAAUAAUGUUUUUUAUAGUUACCAAAAUAAAGGUAAUUUAAUUGUUAUAGGUUUAUGUUAGUAAGUAAGUAUGUGAGGCAGGCAGUUGAAAUCACUUGUAACUCUAUUGUAAGGUAAUAUUAUAUAAAGUUGGAGUCCAAGAAUUGAUAUCCAUUUUAGGGGUUUGGGCAUUAAAUGUUAGGGCAUUGAAAUAAUGAGAUGGCAACGUGACACCUCGCACCCAUGUGAGUUUUGCUUCGUAUUCAACAAUCACUUCAAUUAUUCUAAAAACAAAACCAAAAUUUUCCCUUUUAAUUUUUUUUAUUGCUAUUUUCGAGGCCAUCAAAACCAAAUCAAAGCAAAACAAUCAAUUUUUAAAAAUGCAUAAAACUUUGUUUCUCUUUCCCAAAAUAAAUAAUAAUAAAUUUGCUUUAUGCCAUUUCUGGAAAAAUAACAAAUAAAUGAGGAUAACAAUAGUAAGUACUCUGUGAACUCAACUUAGAGAUUAAAGGAAGAAAAAAACUUUUAAAUCUUAUUUUAAUUCAUAAAUAUUUUAUUUUACUUUAAUUUCUAAAUCUUAAAAAACGUUCAUUAGUCGAUAAACUUUCAAAUUUUAAUUUUAAAUUAGUUGUUAAAUAAUCACUUUGCUUUCAAUAUUUUGACCGAAUACAAUUUUAUUUGUAUACAAAUUUUUUAUGCCUUUAGUUCAGGAUAUUUAGUGAUUCUUUAAGUUUUUUUCUCUUUCCUCUCAUUUUUGUUAGAGGAUCGUUGGGAAUUAUUGUGAAAAUAUUUAUCAAUUUAUUUUGUAUAUAUUUGUGCUUAUAUUUAUUUUACUUUAUCAUGGAUUUUAACAACGACUUCUAUUCUAAUUUAUUUAUUUUAUUUUAUUUAAUCUUCUUCCAAUAAAUUUGCUUCAAAAAUCCAAUUUGAAAAAAGAAAAUAGUAAAGAGAUGUGAGAGAUUUGAAUUUUGGGAAAAACAAAUUUAGUUUUUAGGUUUAUUUGAUAAACGUGUUUUUAUGUUUUUAUGUUGACAUAAAUAAUAAAUUAACAAACUUUAUUGGUUAUUUAUCCAUAUAAAUAAUAUAAUAAAUUUAAACCAUAAUAAUUAGAAUAUAAAAAAUCACAUUAUGAUUGUCCUGAAAAGUAAAUAUUUAAGUUUUUGGAGAGUAAAACAUACAUUUUUUAAAAAUUAAAAAUCACUAUAUAACAAGAUACAAAAUGUACCAAAAUAGAAUAAAAAAAAAGAUUGUUUGAAGAAAUGAUAUUAUAAAAGAGAGAAGAUUUUGUUGGGUAUUGGGCAUAUGAUAACAAUAAUGGCAGGAUUUUGAACCAUAUUGAUGGGUGUUUUUGUUUGAAUUGUGUCCAAAAGUUGUUUGUCAUUUUAAGGUCAUUUUCUUUCUUAAUAAUCUCAUAUAUCUUUUCCCUAACUUCAUUCAAAACUUGCUUUUGGAGAUUCUUAUUUCCUUAUUUUCUUAAUCAAGUGGGGGACUCCAAAUUUCAAAAACCAACCCAAUUUGAAUUUAAUACGAUUUUUCUUUUUUUUUUUUACUUAUUUACUACUUUUGGGUACAAUCCCUCAAUUUUCUAAGUUUGGUUUUGAUUGAUUGUGGUUUGUAGCUACCAAUUUUAAACGCAUAUAUCUCCUUGUGUAACAAAAUGAGCCUACAUUUUGAUCUCUUUUGAAAUUGAGUGUUAUGUUUUUGUAUAUUACUGUGUUUGAAUGACACCCCUAAACCCUAGUAGAUGACUGCUUUUAGUUAAAAUUACAUUUCUUCAACUUUUGAAUGCUCCUAAGUUUAAUUAUCAUAUAACUUUUGUGUAAAUUACUUUUGCCUUUUCUUCAAUUACUCUUUGUCUUCAAGUCCGUAUUUCUUUUACUUAGGGUGAAUUAUGGAAAGAGCCGUGGAAGAUUCAAUCAACAUUUAUUUCUCACCCACGAAAACUCCCAUUAAUUUACCUUCAUUAUGACAUUAAAAUUAUUGUCUUCAAAUAUAACAAAAUGAACCAAAAUUAGACGGACAUUGUUUGUGUAGUUUUAUUAUUAAUCCAACUUUAAAAUGUAUAUUUUUAAAUUAAUCAAACUAUGCUUUCAUAACAAUAGUGAGGUAAUGACAUCCAGAAAUAUAACUUUAAGAAAAACGUUUUUUUUUUUUUUUAAAAAAAAAGAAGAAUACAUUUUUGUGUUUCCACUUAAUUUCUUGUUUGUUUUUCGAUUUAUUUUAGUUGGUGGGAAUUAGAGAGAGAAUGGUAACUUUUUUGCGUAAACCAAAGUUUUUGAAUAUGGCAGACAAGAUUCCUUUGUUCCUUUUAAUAAACCAAAGUUUUUGAGUUGCUAACAUUUACAUAUCUUUAUACGAAUUAGAAUUUAUUUAAAUGUUUUUCUUAUAAAUUAUAUACUUUUAGAAUUAAAUAUGAGAAUGCAUAGUAUUAAAUAAGAAGAGAAAAAGAGUUAGUAAUUAAGUAGCAAAAGAAUGAUUUGAAAGGGAAGGGAAGGGAAGGGAAGGAGUGGGUGUUUUUGUCAUUUUGUGUUUUAAAUUUUCUUUGUUUAAAGAAUUUUUGGUUGUACUUUAGAUUUGGUAAAUUUGCCCCCACAGAGUUACCAAAUUUCAAUUGGUAUCCCCACACCGCCACUUUCUCUCCUCUUCUCUCACACCCUUUCUUCAAUUAACCUUUAAUUCCCUCAUCUCAAUUAUUACAUCUUUAAUGACAAUUACCCAACCUCUAAUCUAAAUCCCAAACACAAUCACAUUAACUCAAUCCUAUCUCUAUAUCUUUUACCAACAUUGCCAUCAUUUCUAUUAUGUUAUAGGAACCAAAUUGGAACUUAUUUUAUUAUUUGAGGUGAUGAGUUAUUUGAUUGGGACGAAACAACUAAUAGAACUUACUUUGAUUUGAAAUGGUUGUGAAUUAUGUGCAAAAUCCUUGUUUUGUUUAUGAGAGAUGGAGUGUAAGAAAAGGAACAUGAAAGAGCAACAACUAAAACAAGACACCAUUCAAUUAAAUAAAUACUGAAAAGACAGUCACAAUAUCUUGGUCAUUUGGCAUUAUUUACAAUACAAUGGCAUGUGUGGCAAUCCUUAAAUGUAGGGUCCAAAUCCAGCUCAAACACACUCCUUUUUUCUUUCUUUCUUCCCUUCAUUUUCAAAUUUCCUGAACCAAAAGCAAACAAAAAAUACUGCCUUUUGCUUUUUAAUUUACUGUCCAAUAGAUUCAAAAGUGGUUCAGUCAGUCAGAAAAAGAAGAAGAUGGUGGAAAUGCUUCAACAUUAAAAAAGAACAAUCCCAUACGAAAAUACCCUCCCCCAAUAAACCCAACUGGUCAACUGUACAUGAAAGAAAAUAAAAUUAAAAAAAAGAAAAAGGAACUUUUGAACAUUAGUACCAUAACAUUAAAAAAAGCCAAACCUAAUCCCCCCAAAAGAAAAAUAAACGACAUCGCAGGUACAAGAGCCAAAGCUUUAAUUGUUUGGACCUUACGAAAGACAGUAGAUAGAGACACUACCAACCCCAACUAAGUUGUUCAAAUGCUAAGAAGAUCUGGUGGCGGUUGCUGUUGCUGAUGUUCUUUUUUGUUCUUGGUUCCUGUUGUUGGAAGGUCUAAAUCUGCAGCUGUUGGUGGUGGGGGUGGUGACGAGUUGGGGAGUGUUGAAUCUCCUCCUUGUUUUGAACUUGGUGGCUGUGGAAUCUCCGAUAGGAUUUGGAUCACUUCCCUCAUUGUUGGGCGCUCCACUGCCUGUUCCUCCACACAUAGCAUUGCAACGUAGAAGACGUGCAUCACUUCGUGGAGUGGCACGGAGGAGAGCCUUGGGUCAAGGAUUUUCACUACCUCUUCCUUGUUUGAGUCUGUCAUUUUUCUAACCCAUUGAACUAUGUCGACACCAUCCCCAAAUUCUCCAACGGGUUUUCUACCACUGACAAGUUCCAACAGGACAACUCCAAAGCUAUAUACGUCACUCUUCUCAUCAACUUUUAGUGUGUAGGCGUAUUCUGAAAGAAAUAAGCAUAAUCUCAAGAAUCAGAAUCAUGGAAUUUUAGCUUCUAGAAAAUCAACAAUUUUCACACCAUUGAUCAUCCAACUUUGGACUUGAAGUGGGAAGCAAUUCAUAAUAGAUUAAACAUUGAAGAGAACUUUGUCAAUUAGAAGUAGGAUGCAGUCAAAAACACUAUGAUUCGUAAAUGUACUUGCAAAGCUGAAAACCACUAAUGUUCUCACAACAUGGCACAAAACUAAGCAAUAUUCUUCACAAACUCUAGAUCAUACAUACGAGUCAAAGAAGAAUAAAGCUAAAACACAUCAAAACAAGAGUUAAGAUUCAAAAUUUAAGUCUUUGGAAGAAAAAUUCAAGGUUGGAAUCAUAUACCUGGGGCAAUAUAUCCAUAAGAACCAGCAAUGGCAGACAUGCACUCAGAAGUGCCAGAAUCCUGUAAGAACUUGGCGAGGCCAAAAUCCGCAACAUGAGCUUCAAAAUUAGUGUCAAGAAGUAUGUUGUUUGAUUUAACAUCUCGGUGAACAAUGAGUGGCGAACAAUCAUGGUGGAGAUAGCAAAGGCCUUUAGCAGCUUCAAUAGCAAUCUUAUACCUUGUAUCCCACUGAAGGUGACCUCCUUUUUUGCCAUGAAGAACUUCCCCUAAGCUCCCAUUAGGCAUAAACUCAUAAAUCAAAAGAUUAGUUUCAUGGUUUGAACAGAACCCCAAUAGUCUUACAAUAUGUCGAUGUCGAAUUCUCCCAAGAGUUUGUAUCUCAGCAUUGAAUCCAUGAUCAUGGGACGAUCCCCGGCUCAUCGCCGGCAGCCUUUUGACGGCGACCUGGUCACCACUUGACAUGGCCCCUUUAUAGACAAUUCCAGCCCCACCCUUUCCAAUAAUAUUAUCUUCUUUCAAGCAAUCAAGAACAUCAUCAACUGUGAAAUCUAAGCGUUGGAAGGAUGUUAAUUUCCAAGCCCGAGACUCACUGGCUCUCUUCAAAGAUCGAGCUUUGAUGAUGGCAGCAACUGCAAAUGCAAUGGAGCAAAGAAGCAGACCAAUUACAAGGAGGAGCUUGAGGGAAGCAGAGAGAGGGCCCUUCACAUGUUGUUGGUAAUUACUAUUGGCAACCCCAUCUUUGCAUGGUCCCAAAUAUGGGCCGCAGAGAUCAGGAUUUCCGAGAAACGAUGUGUAAUUGAAGUAACUGAAUUGCCCAGUUCCCGGAACUAAACCGGAGAGGUUGUUGUAUGAGAAAUCCACGGAGGUUAAACUCUGCAUGCUGGCUAUGGUAGCAGGGAUUCCACCGACUAAAUGGUUUUUUGAGAGAUUCAAGUAAUUCAAUAUCCUCAUACUGGUAAUCUCGUUUGGAAUUUCUCCUGAGAGCUGGUUUCGGCUGAGAUCGACGAAGGUUAGAAGCUUGCAUUGGCUAAUCUCCGGCGCGAUUGGACCCGAUAGCAUGUUGCUGCUGAAAUCUAUCUUCGAAAGUUGCUGUAACCGCCCGAUUUCAGGUGGGAUUUGACCGGAAAACUUGUUUCCGUCGAGGAGUAAUUUCUGGACGCCGGAGAAGUUGCCAAUUGUUGGCGGAAUCGACCCAGUGAGUCGGUUGUUGGAAAGACUAAUCUGGCCGAGAUUCAAUGAGAUUGAAUCGGUUAUUGGGAACUCGCCGGAGAGGAAAUUAUCUUGUAACUCCACCUGAGAAAGCUUGGGAAGACUUAGAAGCCCCUUUGGAAUGGAUCCAUUGAGAAAAUUUUCUCCCAUACGAAUACGAUUAAGGGAAACGCAUUUGCCUAGCGACUCUGGGAUUGGACCAAACAAGAAAUUGCUCAAUGCGAUCAGAAUUUGAAGCCGAUUACCAAAACACAUAUCGGGAGGAAGAGUUCCAGUCAGCUUAUUGGAAGAAAGGUCCAAUAUCUGAAGCAUUCCGUUCUUCCCCAAGUUCUGUGGAAUGGCUUCCGUGAAAUUAUUCUCCCAUAACUGCAACACCUCCAGCUUCGGCAAGUCGCCAAUAAAGGAAGGAAUCGCCCCAUGUAACUUGUUUCUAAACAGAUUCAACAGCGUCAAGUUCUUCAACUGGGCGAACGAGACGGGAAUCUCACCCACAAGCAUAUUGUUCGACAAAUCCAACGAUUUCAAACUGUUCAACUGUCCAAUCUCCGGUGUCAAUGGCCCAGAUAGAGCAUUAACUUGUAGAAACAAAGUAUCGAGAUUCUGCAGCUUUCCAAGCUCCGGAGGAAUCCGGCCAGACAGUCCACAGUUCGCAGCGUCCAACCGUACCAACUGUGACAAAUUCCCAAUCUCAGCUGGAAGACCGCCGUCGUAAGCGUUGAAGUAGCCAAUGUAAAGCUCACGAAGGUUCGUAAGGUUUCCGAGCUCCGGAGGUAUCGAACCGCUAAGCUCGUUACCCGAAACCGCCAAGUACUCCAAAGACUGCAUCCGACCCACUUCCGGCGGGAUCCGUCCGGCAAAGAAAUUUCCUCCCAAAUGCAAAUGACGGAGGCCCGACAUUUGAGUGACCACAAUGGGGAAAUCUCCAGUCAUAUUGUUGUUAUACAAAUCAAGAACGUGAAGAUUCUGCAGCUGCGAAAACCGUGAAGGGAAGGACCCAUCGAAAACAUUAUUAGACAAGUUAAGGAGGCGAAGUGAAGAGAUUGAAGAAAGCUCCGGCGGGAUGGGACCAGAAAACUCAUUGGCAGCGAGAGAAAGAUUAGUGAGAAAUCUUAAAAAAGCAACAUCAGGGGAGAGAGAACCAGAAAGACCGAGAGCAGUGAGAUCUAGGGCAGUGACAUGGCGACGAAGAUCGCAAGUGACCCCAAACCAAGUACAAUGACUGGUAGAAGCGUUCCAGGAAGCAAGUGAGGAUUUGGGGUCGCCGGUAAUGGAGGUUUUGAGGGAGAGAAGAGCUCGGUACUCAGAAACACGAGCAGAAAGAGAAUGAUGAAUGUGGAGUUGGAGGUGAAGAAGACAAAGGAGAAGAAGAAGAAGAAGACGCAUUUUGUUAGGGGGUUUGUUUGAUGGAAUGAGAAAUGAGGGAUUAUUAGGUUGGGAUGUUCUUCAAUGGCUGAAAUCUGCAAAUUUGCAGAGUUAGUUUGAAAUGAGGAGAAGAAGAGGAAGAAGAAGCGAGAGGUGAGUGAGAAGAACAAGUGGGUUUGGGGGGACCUCGAUAAAGUGAAUCAUGUCGCACAUUUUACAUUUCAUUUUUCUUUUCAAAAAUUUAAAGUUCUUCACUUUAUACAAUUCAAUAAUAUAAACUUCAUAUCUUAAUGUGUGUGUCUAUAUGUAUAUAUAUAUAUUAAUCUGUUAGUAGCUCCAUGGUCUAGAGAAAGCCAUUAAAUACCAUUUGUUAAAAAUUAUAUGUUAUUUUAUUGAAUAUGAUUAUAUGUUAUUUGAUCGAAUAUGAUAGGUCUGAAUAUUAGGAUAUGCCUACUCACUCACAUUCUUAUAAUAAUCAUAAUAAUAAUAACAAUUCAACACCAAAUUCUAAUUUCUUUUUAUUUAAACUCUCAUACAUUUUCGAAAGUAAAUUAGUGUAAAAUUUUUCAAUUCCUAUUGCAUUUCAUUUGAGUCAAAAGGGAAAAAUAAUUAGGGAAGGCUACAAACAUUAGGUAUGUUUUCUUUUAACUUAAAUUAAACCUUUUAAUGUUUAAUUCCACAAUUAAUGUUACUGUUUUUACUGUUUAUAUUAGGGUUAGACGUAGAGAGAAAAAAGUUGCUUAACUUUUGCAAUAAUUGGUGUAUUUGCAUUACAUAUUUUCCCAUCUCAUUCUUAAAUUUGGUGGAGUUGUUGAACAUCUUAUUAUUAUUGUUUUUAAUUGUUCUUUUUAGUGCAUAGUUGUUAAGCAUUAAAUAUUACUCUUAAUCAUUAAUACAUUUUCUACCUUAAUUUCCUUCUACCCCAUUUCUUCUAUGUUUCUUCUCCCCCCUCAUUAUUCUUCCCUUAAUUAUAUUUUCAUUAAUACACAUCCACACUUUAUUUUUUUUCAUUCAUCAAUUUAAUCACCCAAAAAAAAAAAAAAACCUUAUUAAUUGGUUGGCUAGAUCCGCUUGGUUUCAACGUGAGAAGAAGCCUACACACACUUUACAAGUUACGUACAUAUGAUUAUCAAAAGCAACUACAGUAAAUGGUCAUUUAAAAAUUUUACAAUUAUUAGUUUAGAAUUUUAAUUGAAACAACUAUAAAUGGAUAUUUGCCAUUUUCGUUAUUUGAUUUAUUUACGAGAAAAAUCACAUCAUCCAUCAAUUUUAAAAAAUUAAUAAGAUAUCAUAAUCUCAAUUAUUACCACUUUUUUGGGAUGGUCUAACAAACAAAGCAAUAGAGUGUAUGUACUCAAAAUAGGCAUGUUGAUUUUAAAACUUUAAAAACAUAUAGAUCCAAAAUUGAACAAAAAAAAUAAAUAAAAUUAAAAGGAUAAAGUUUGUAUGAAGAAAGAAAAAGUUAGGGAAGAAGGGUAAUUGUGUAAGUUAAGAAAAGAGAAAAAAAAAAGAAAAAAAAGAAGAGGAAAUGAUGAUAUGAUUAAAGAGUAUAGUGAGGGAAUGGUAGAAGAUAAUGGUAAAAAGAAAAAAGAGAGCAAUAUUGAUAAGACAUUGAACUGUUUGAAGGACUUUGGAAUAACUUUGCUUAUAUAUAUUUUUUCUUUUUUUUCUGCCACUCUCUGUUUUCUACUUUUUUAUGUCCAUACUCUAUAAUAAAAGCUGACUCUUUUUCUUUUUUUUUUCUAAAUUAUAUUUCUCUAAACUAAAUUUAUUUGGUGUAUGUUUCUUACCUCAAUGAUAGAGAUGUAUCAAAUUCCCAUAAUUCAUAACCAUAUUUUAAACAAAUUACGUAAUGUUAUGUAUUAGAUUGAUCAAGAGUAGUAAUAAAUGAAAGAAAGAUGAAUUAAGGAUUGUUUUUGAAAAGUAAAAUUGGAAUUUAAACAAAGGUUUAGGAGUUGAAGAGUAGAGAGAGUAAAAAGGGAAAGGGAAAAAAAAGUGAAGAGUGAUAAUAAGAAUUGAAAGAGGUAAUAAUAGUUGGUGGGUUUGUGUGUUAAUAGAGAUAAGGUUUGUUUGGUCAAACUCAAACCCAAAAGGCCAAACCUAUAUUUGUUGUAUAUUAUACUUACUGUCCCUCAAUUCUAUUUCUUUGUCUCCCACUACCCCCUAUACUCUUCAUUAUUGCAAAAUGGACCACCCCUCCUUUUCCCCAAUAUUCACUCUUUUACCCUUCUUAAGAGACCCUAAGCCUGUGAAUGUGAAUGUGAGUGUGUGUGUGAGGUAAGGCUGAUUCUUACGGGACAUCGCUAACCGACAAAAGCACCUCAGUUUGGUCCCCCGAUUAUUAUAUAAACUAAACCCAAAAACCAAUAUUCACCAAACUGUCCUUCUUCCUGGACAAAGAAAGUGACCCUAUACUCAUUUCUGUGAGAGAGGGUAAUUAUUGGAAACCAUCUAAUACAGUAAUCCAUCACUCAUCACAGCACAAAUUCAUUUUUCACUUAAAUCUAUUCUUAUCACACCCCAUAAUUUUCUCUAUUUGCAAAACAAAGUGACUUGGCAUGAUUUUAAAUUACCAAAUGCAUGUCUUUCUUUUAUAGUAGAUCUUAGUUUAUACGAAGAUUGUUGCAUGCUGUGGAUAAAACCCGCUGCCUCAAAAGCAAGAACGGUAAAACCUGCUCUCCAAUGUUCACACAGCACCCAGAUUUUGACGUGCACUUCUAGUAAAACGGAUUGGAAUCAAUUCAAAAAUAGGUUUCUUUUAGUAGUAAAAAGUUGUUGUUUUUCACUAUUAACCAAGCUGAAAGUAUAACACGCAUGUUUAGAGGGUUAUACUUUCACUACCACCACACUUUGGAAACAAGAGAUAUUGAAGUUUACUGGCAAGCAUUUAUAUAUAUCAAUCCUAACUCUUUCAAUAUGGAACCUCUUUUCUCUGGACACUACUUUUUUUUUUCUUUCUCUUUUACCAUGGGCAGAUAGCCCAAAGUCGUCAUUUUCAGCCGAGUAGUUGUAAUGUUUAGUCAAAAGUAAAGUAUAGUAAAAGAAAAAAAAGCAAAAAGAUGAUUGAUUGAGAUAUGUGGGAAUUGAGAAUCCAACAUCAUUGAAUAGGGGAAGCAAUGCCCUGUAAUGUUGGGUUUACAAUAUUACAGGAACAGAACGAUAGUAGCGUAACCAACGGGUCAUUUGGAUACCACGUCCUUAACCGUAAUUUCAAGACACACCUACAUUGAAUGACAUUCUGAUUAUUAUUUUUUCCAAGUGAAGUGGGAAGAAGCCUAAAGUAAUAAUAUUUGACCAAAUUUAUAGAGAGAGUGUGGUUAUUGGUUAUUUGGUGCCGAGUUGGACUCAGUUGAAGGAAGAGGGAAUUUAAUAAAAUAAAUGAGUCACUCAGAUGAUGUGGUCUUUCUUCUAUAUUCAGUUUUCAGAGUGCCAAUCCUAUCCAAGGAUGACACACGUUGAGGAAUUCAGUUGGUAGAUGUGUUUGAUGUUCUUUUUAACCUUUUGUAUUCAUUUGAAUUUUUAUAUUGAACACAGUAGCCAAUGUAAUUUUUUUAAAAAGUUAUUAGAGGACAGAAAUUUGGGAGCGUUUUUGAAAGUGUGGUAUGGAGUGACUGAAUAUGUGUAUUUGUAUAUUUGUAUAUUUUAAGGGAUGGCUGUUUUAAAUUAUAAUGAGAGAGAAUUAAGGAGAAACAAAAGCUUUGGGGUAGUGAGAAAAGGCUCUAGUUUCAUGAUUUCACGCCACAAAACCACACGUUAUCUCACUUCCUAUAUCUUUUUUAUGUAUUGGUUUGUGUACAUUUUGUCUCCUCUCUAAUUUCUCUUUCUCUCAGCCCUCUGAAUUCACCUUCUUCUCAUCACUUCUCACAACUCAAAACAAAACAAAACAAAAAACAUGGUUUGAAUAAUAACAGACAGCACUUUCUUCUUUUUUUUUUUUGGGAGUAAACGACACUUUAAAUCCAUAUAUCUAAGUUUAAGCAGCUGUUUCUUUUGGCCUUCACCAUGUGCACCAAUCUCUAGAAUAUCACUGCAUAUUACAAUACGCCAAAUUUCAUGCCACUUCUUCACCCACAACAACAACAACUUCCACCAUAUCAGUUUGUCUAUUUCCUGGCCCAGCCCAUUUGAAAGAGAGAGAGGAGAUUUCAGUUUGUUUUACUAUCUAUGCAUUCAUAUCUUUGGCAUAUUCUAUUCAAGAAAACCAAAAGGCAAGUCUAUUGGUUUCUUUCUUUUAACUUCCAGGAUUUAACUGACACAAGGAAAGACAAUAACGGCCUGCCUCUGAACUAAAUCUAUAUAUGCUUACAAGUGAAGAAGAAAAAUGGUGAUCUAGUUACUCAUCCAACGUUGAAAAGUUCAAAAUCAAAGUUUUCUUUCUGGGAUGAAGCGAGGAACACAGCUCCAGCGCCAGACCCACCAUGAGAAUGUUCCACUAUCACAUUGUCUGAGAGUUCAUUUCCAAGCAUUUCCCAUAUGCUGCUAUUGAGAUAGUUUCUAAACACCCUAUAAUGCUCGUAAAGCCCCCCUUCCACUGUGACUAUGUUUCUUUUGUUUUCUAUCCUCCCAAGCUUUUUAACGAUCCCCACAAUGCCAGCUCCAGCAAGACGGGCUGCACGCUCUGAUACGACGUCACAUACUUCAGCAACAAUUUCUCUUGCCAUUGGAGUUGAAUCAGUUACCUUGCAUUCAUAGAGAACACGUCAACCAGUGAGGAAGAGAGGUAUUAGCUAAUGCACGCCUUGAUAUAAAGUAGACACUAAUUUAGGUUGUAAUAGCACUCUUAUUGGAUAAAAAUCUGAAAGCACCUCAUCAACUCUACUAUAUUCUAAGGUCGGUCUAUAAUAUAACUGUCAGAAGUUCACUGUUAAAAGCUUGUUCACUGUUCAAAGCUUAAAAGAUUCUCACCCCAAAAAUUUCUUUAAGCUUUUCAUUGACCACCUCUCGAUCUUCUGAUGUAUCCUGAUGCAUUGCAGCCAUAUCAGGUGACCUGAAACAAAAUCAUUACGAGUCAAAUUGUCGACCGUGUUCACAAUGGUUUGGUAUUUGCUCCUUUCAAGAUGCAGUCAUCAUGUAAAUAUCAUAAAAAGGAUUUGGUCCACGUUCUCACAAAAAUAUGGCUACUCGAUUUCAGACUUAGGAUGGAAAUAAUAGUCUUGCUUCGCAUUGUUUUCCAAAAAUAUCACAUUUAACUAUUGUUGUGUUGGAAAUGCGGUAAAAGUCUCAUAUUGGCUAGAUAAGAAGAUGAUAAAUCAUGACUAACUCUGAUGGCAUGAAACUUUUUGGGUGAAACAAAAAACAAAGCCGUGGGAGUUAUGUCUAAAGUGGACAAUUAAAAACUGUUUGUGAAGAUAUUUCGAAGGUCGCUGUCCUGACAUAUUAUUUAACUAGUGUGUCAACGCAACUAAUAAUACCAAAACUGCAUGAAAAUAAAUGUAAAUACCUUAGCACAUAAGGGGUCAUAAGCUUUGAAGGAACAGGAUCCCCAAAUAAUAAUGUUUCCUGUGCCAUUUUUACCAGAAUUCUUCUCACAAUCUCUCCCAAGUAGGUUCCUGAUACCAACUUUUGGAAUACCUGAGAUAAUUUAAGAAUUAUUAGCCAAUCUACAGUAGCAUUCACUUUGAGUACGUGUGGGUAUGAUCAAUCUACAAUCUACAAUCUACCAUACCUGAGUACCGGGAUUUAAACUUUCAGAAUCUAGAGAAGUAUCAAACUCCGUUAUCGGAAGAUGUGGUGAACGAAAAUUGCCCCACUGCAUGCUGACCCCCUACAAUAUAAGAACAUAAUUAGACUGAUCAUCAAGUUGCAAUACCAUUUAAUUGGUUAAUCUUACUAACCACCUCCCUUGAGGUUGGUGAUGGUCCAUUCAAGUGAGCAAGUUCUUGUCCUGAUUCUAUAUAGGCGGCAUUGGUGCCCAUGCCUAAAGUUAUAGCAGCCACACUGUCCCUACAGUAGUAUCUACCUCCAGCUAAAUUCCCAACAGUAUCAUCAACCUGUGCUCGGAGAAACCAGAAAUAUCACAAAAAAGCUGGAAGCCUGGAACUAGAUUUGCCAUAAGGAACUUCGGUUAAAAUAUACAAAUCUAUACCAUUGCAGAGACCAGCAGGUUUACACCAUGGUUAGUCAAAGCCUGAUUGAUGUUAUUCACCAUAUUCUUUCCAACCUGAGUUCAUCAUUAUAUUAGGUUUCGGCCAAGAAAGAAUGUCCAUCAGAUGCCAUCAAAUAGAAUAUAAAAGUAGCAAAUUUUCUAUACCAUGUGAUAGAAAUCCAAAACAGUCAUUAGAAUAACAAAAGGAUUCCAAUCGUCAGCAUUUUGCUAAUUCUCAGUUAAAGUGAUCAAAAUUUUGACCAAAGAUCUUUGUUGUUCCGUGAGUAUACUUCAGUCAAUCUAAUUAAAAGGACGUGAGGAGGUUCAUAAUUUACUUUCCACUAUGCGAGAGACUGCAUAGGGAGGGGAACGAUCAUACUCAACUGUGUCAUCGGCAGAGAAACUAUUCCAUUUGAUUACAUUUCCCAAUGAGGCCGCAGCAUCAUCCACUGGAUAUGACAAUGUAAACCCCAGCUCUGUUCUCUUCACCGGUUCAUAUACAUUCUCUGGAUGAGCAGAAACAAAUUUCCCAACCUCCAUAGCAAUGAAGUCGAACAAAUCCUAUUUCCAACAAAAAUUCAAAUAAAACCUCGCCGAUCACAAUCCAAUGGAGAUAAAGGGUAGUAGUUCUCAAAUUCUAAUCCAUGAACCGGGAUACAAUCUAAAUCAUGAAAGAGUUCCAUAACUCAAAGUACAGAAAACAAACCUCAGAAUUGCCAUUCAUCACAUUGGGAGGAAUCGGGAUCUCCUCACGAUGAAUAUCAGAGAUGGGGGCAUUCUUUCCCCCAAGCCGAGCGCACAAAAUCAAGAAACUGGUUCCCCGCAAAUUAAGCCCAUAAUAGAACCCUUCCUCAUCUCUGUGACCCAAAUACAAACAUUAAAAAAAAAAAAAAAAAAAAACCAAAGCCGUAAGCAAUUCAAAUCUCACAAGACAAGGCCAGGAGGGAAAAAUGGAAUACCCAUUGGGGAAAGCGUUAGUGUAGGAGACGAGCAUUUUGAGAGAGGAAUUGGAAGUGGUCCCAUUAACAGAAGCAAUGGAGGCUCGCAUGUCGGACUCCAAAUCAGCGGCGAUCUGCCAGAGUUUGGGGACGGGGGUUGCAGAGUCUCGAGCAAACUUGCGGAGAAUUCGAUGUGCUUGCUUCAACUGCCAUUGUUUCCUUUGCUUCCAUCUCUUGAGGGCGGCGGCGGCGAGAAGAAGAGUGGCAGAAGCUGCCAAUGCGGCGAGGAGAAAUUGCUUGCGGAUGGACAUGGGUGAUGGGGUGUUGUUGAAGUGUUGGGAUUGUGAGAAGGGGAUAUAAGAUCAGAGAGUUGCAUUUUGGAGGUGAAGUUGAUGGUGUGUGUAUCAUCAUCUUGAUGGAUCAAAGAAAGAAAUAACAGAAAGCCAAUUAUGGAUGCAAAUCACCGAUCCCUAUGCCGUUGCCGCCUUCCCUUCUUCCCUUCUUCCCUUCUCUUUACUCUCACACGUCGCGCCACCGCUUAUGGUUUCUUUUUAUAUACAAAUACUCAUUAAACAAAUCUUCCUGUUUUUUAAUUACUUUCUUUUCCAUACUAUUUUGUUAACCUAUAAUUAAUCAAAUUAUAACCUUUAACAUUCUGUAAUCAUUUUUAUUUUAUCUUCUUUUAAAUUACUUUUUUUUAUCUGCUUUAUAUAACUCAAUCAUUUUUAUUUUAAUUUUUUUAAAUUUCAAACAAUGCAUUAUUACUUUCAUUUAUUUGUUUAGUUUAUAUUUUGGAUUUAAGUUGUUUUUUCGACGAUAUAAUUUCACAUUUAUCUCAUACAAACAUUAAAUAAUUAAUGAAUGUACUAAUAUAACAAACAUUCACCUCAAACGGGUGUAUCUUAUCUAAAAAAAUCACGUUCAAUCAACAUCAAAAUGUUUCAAUUUACUUGAGAUUUAAGUCGAUAAAAUGUAAUGAUGUAGGAGCAGAAGAAGCAUGUAAAUAUUCUUUCAUACAUACAUACCCCUUUUUAAUACAACGAUAGAGAUUUGUUUUCUUUUUCUUUUCAUUUUUGCACUAUUUAUUUAUUAUUUUUAAUAAAUAAAAUCCUCAUAAUUUUAAAUAAUGUAUGAUUUGUCUUUAUAAUUAAUAAAUUUAUAAAUAUUUUCAAUAAUUUUAUAAUUUUAAAAAUAAUUAUCUUUCCAAAUUUUUACCAAAUAACAAUUUACUUGUUAAAUUUUAAAACGUAUUUUAAAAUUUAUAAUAAUUCAAUCGAUGAUGUAUAUUUUAGUUAUUACAAAUUUAGAGUUACAAGUAUUAAAUUGUUAGGUAAUAAAAUCUAAAAACUAAAUUUAUUGUAUAUUUAAAAUUACGAGUAUCAAAUGGGCGCAGAUCAAAGUUUAAGAAUUGAGUUGAACUAACAUCUUUUUUUCAUAAGAUAUAUUUUUAAGUUUUAAGUUUGGUGGAUCAACACCGUCGGAAUAUUGAGAAUGCGAAGUAAAAUGAAGAACUUGCGAUGGGCAUUUGAAAGAGAGAUUUCAUACUUCGUCCCAUGCAAGCCCAAUUCCAUAUCAUUGGCCCAACCCCUUAUUCAUACCCUCCAAUAUCACAUUCAAUUUUCCAUCCAUAUGCUUAUAUAUUGGUUAGGAAAAUCAUGAAAAGGACAAAAGAUUUACAUUUUCAUAAAGUGUAAUGAUUUUUUCCCCCUCUUUUCUUAAUUAUUUUUAAGAACUAGUGGUUCCAUUAAAAAAAAUGGAAAUAAAAGGUCUAAGGCAUUAGAUGUCUAACAUUUGGAGGUUGGUGAAAGUCUUAGAACUCAUUUUUCAUUCACAAGUUUUUUAAAAGAAUUUUCUGGACAGAACAAACUAUUUUUGUUAUAAUAUAUGAUUUACCUCACAUUUAAUGUGAUGAGAGAGACACUUAAAAGUAUGAUAUUUGAAUAAAAGUUAAUAAAAACAAACACGUUAAUCAGGAGUUGUGCAUUUUUUACUUUGAAAUAGCAAUAGAAUGUUUAAAUUUUUAAUUUAGAUAUGUAAGCAAAACAAUGUAUAUAUUGUAUAUGUAAACAAAAAGUUGUAAGGUGAUAAGGACACCAUCACAAAAUAUUAUUUGUUGAAAGUAGUUUUUGCUAAAAGUUCAUCUUUUCAAACAAAUUUAUUGUUAUUAUUAUUAUUGUAUACACAACUUUUUUUUAUUACUUAAAAGGUGAUUUUCAACACUACUUCAUAUUGUUUAUUUGUUUUCUAAUAUAAUUGACGUUCUCUGUUUUCUUCCAUAUUCUAAUUUAACGAUUUACAUUAUUAAAAUAUUGAAAAUUUAUAACUUUUGAAAAGACACUAAAGUUAUUAAUUAUUCAAAUCAAAGAAAACAUUUUUUUUUUAAUUUAAUAUUUGUUAGAAAAAGGGUAUUAUUAUUUUGUUAUGUGGAAAGAAUAAUUUGGACGAUGAAAUGAUUAACACCCAUGAACAAUAUCUAGCUUAAAGUUUCCCUGUUUCAAUGUAACAAGCUUCUACUGUAAUAUGAUUUUAGUUAUAUUCAUUGAUGUACAGAAUAAAUCAACAAUAAAUAUGUAAUUUUGAAGAAGAAAAAAAAAGGUAUUCUCCUUCUUCUUCAAUUCAACGAACUGAAUCAAUACAUACAUAUUCAUAAAACAACUUGUACCAAUGGAUCGAAUGGGUUGUUCUCCUGAACCUAUAGUUUGAUCCUUGGUGGAUUGGGUUUAGUACUCUUCCAUCGCAAGAAUUGGGUGGGCAUGUGCCAAAUGGAAAUACAAGAAUGUAAGUGAGCAGCAGAGGUUGGUGAUAUUUAGUUUCCUUUGAAAAUAAUUUUUUUUGCAAUGUGAAAAAUGUUUUGGCAAUUUUUUACUUUAUUUAUUUACUUUUGUAACCUUUUAGAUUUGAACUUUGUAAAUAGUAAAAUUCUAAAUAAAAUUCGUCAAUGAGAAAAAGUUGAUAUUUUCAAUAAUGGUAUGGAAAUAGCUUAGCAUUUAUUUUGUAAUUAACUAACAAGAAGGUGUAAUUCAUUUAAAGAUUUAAAGAUAAUACCAAAUAAAUUUUCGGAGUAAAUUAGAAUCAAUAUAAAAUAUUAGAAAAUAAUUUCAUAUAAAUGAAACUUAUUCAAACACAUAAGGAUAAUAUUAAAAAAAUGAGUAGAAAAUACUUGUAGUUGAAAAGAUGUGACCCUAUACAGCUAGCAGACAAAUAAUGGAUAUACAUAGAAAGGUAUAUAAUAAUAUAUGUAGACAAUAAUAGGUUCAAUUUCUAAGCCAACAUGGUGGCUAAUAAAUUUGUUUAACAUAAAAGUAUGUAUAAAAGUGGUGACCUACUGAUCACCUUAGCUAAUUGGAAUAUAUCAAAGAUCACAUAAUCUUUGGAUGGGACACUGCCCCUUUUCUUGCUUUUCUAAUUAUCCUCUCACUUAAACAAUACAUCAACAUUCAUUUUUAGCAAAUAAAAACGUCAGCAUUAACUUAUAUUUCUUAAUUUAAUGUACUACUUACAGCGUUUUUAUAUUUAAAUAUUUAGGUAAUUUCAAGUUCAACAACAAUAGUUAGAGAUAUGGGAUAUCAAACUCUUCCUCUAUGGUAAUUAAAUAAUGUAGGUAGCUAGGAGUGACUAAUAUACAAGCUAGCUAAAUGUGAAAGCAUGCCAAUUUUAAGUAAACAAAAAACUAUCAUAAUUAAUCACUAAAUUUUUCACAAAAAAUUAAACCAAACUUGUUCUCUUUUAGACAUCAUAGUAUUAUUAAUUAAAGUUGGUAUUCUAGCUAAAUUGACACACCCUUACCAUCUAUUUUUCUCUCUACUCUUGCCUUUUUAGAAAUGAAAUCAGUGUAUAAGUGAUGAAAAAUAUAAUUUAGCCAACUAUUACUUUAUUUUGUGUCCAGCCUGGCAUUAUUAGGUUAAGGUAAUAUAUUCUUAAAAAUCUAUAUAUGUUUUUUCUAGUUCAUAUAGUCUGAAUAUGAUUAUAUAAAGCUUAAUGGUAUUAGAUAUGUAUUUUGCCCUCUAUGUUUCCCAACUGCAACAUUCAUUUCAGCACGAAUCAUAUGUCUCCCCAUUCAUAUGCCCAUACUCAUCUUUAAUUAUAUAUUUUCUCCAUUUCUUUGAAUUGAAAGAAAAAGAGAAAAAUAAUCAGUAGAUAAGAUGUCACAUCUCAAAGAAAUUACAAAACCAAGAACAACACACAGUACACGUAUCAAUAUAUUAAUCUUUAUUACAAUUUAGAGGUGGAAUACAUAAAUAGAUAAAUAAGGAAAUGUGUUAAAAGGAGAGAAUUUAACUAUUAUUAGAACAUAAAAACCCGAGUUUCUUCUACCUUACAAAAACCAAAUCUAAAGGCUAAAAAAAACCCUAGCUAGCUAGCAAGAGAAAAAGAAAACAGCCUGAGUUUAAAAAAAAAAGAAGAAAACCCCAUUUUUAACAGAGGUAAAAAUAUAUAUAUAGCAGAAAGAGGUGAGACAAAGAAAAGUCAAAAGCUCUCUCUCAAAAAAAUAAUGUAAAAAAGAUUUUUACCUCUCGGAAAUGGGUUGUUUUUCUUUAUUACAUAAUUACAAUUUACACGCUUUUCUUAAUUUUCUUGAAAAAAGAUGAAUCAAAUAUAAUGUUACUUCUUUGUUUUUUUUAACAAAGAAAAAAGAAAGAAAAAAAAGGUGUUUGCUGCCUUUGGUAAAGUUUCAGUUGAAGUCUAGCAAAGCCUGUCUCAGAUUCUUUACAACAUCUUCCACUGUCAUAUGAAAACCAACAUCCAUCUGCCAUUAUUAAACAAAUAAACAACAUUGUUAUUCUCUCCUCACAAACAAAUCAGAUAAAUUAUCAAGUAAAUAGAACAUUAUUAACCAAAAUUCAGAAACCAUUAUCAAAUUAUUGUUAGGAUAUGUAAAUAUGAGAUUACAGACUAGACUUCUCGUAUCAAAAUUGAUUAUAAGGAGAUGAACAAAUUAGGUGCAUUUUAAAGAUUUUGAGAUCUACUAGUCUUUUCUAAUACUGACUCUAAGGUUGUGGCUCUUUUGAUUCACUAUUUUUAUUAGAUUCUUUUCUUUAUUUGAAUACAUGUUUGGAGGUCAUGGUAUUUGAUACCAUGUUAGACAAACACAAAGUUGCAUCUUAUCUUAAAACCAAAUGAGCAAAGUAAGAAAAAAAACUAAUAUAUUUUAUAUAGUUUAUGAUCAAAUCUUUUCACCGUUUUGAUGUAGGAUUCCCAACUGAUAGAUUGCAGUAAAUUUAAUUGUAUUAAUACUUAACAUUAAUAACAUCAAAAUAAAAAAUAAAAAUAUUAUCUAAGUCUACGAGAAGCUUAAAAUUUAAAUUUAGUCUUUUGGUUUCAUAACAUCUCAUAAAUUGUUCAUAUAAAUAGUUUCGAACUAAAUUCAACUUUCUGUAAACCUUAGAUAUCGGAGUCUCGGACCAAAGUAUGCAAUAAUUAACCAGAUAAAGAGAGCUUUAAAGUUAAUAAUUAUACCUGAGCAACAAUCGUAAUAUCGAGGUUGGAGUGGGAGAAUGGCAAAGCACUAGUGUUGAGGAUUGUGAGAUUAUUAAAGCUCUGGAUUUUGUUGAGCAAAUAAGAGAGACAGCCUUUGCGUUUGUGGCAGUGAAUUCUGAUGAGAACAUCAUUGUUUACGAAUCUUACUUCUAUCUCAGGAGUACUUCUUAGUCUGCCGGAAAAACUGUUCUCGUCCGAUGAUGAGGUGUCAUCGUCGGAUGAGGAAGGCUGCAGGGUGGUUCUCUUCACACACACCACUGGCGAUUGUGGCUUCGAAGUUUUGGAAGUAGUUUGUUCCUCCACCACUUUCAAACGCUCUUGAAGCUCUUUUACAUGUCUUAUGGCUCCUCCCAAUAUCGAAGCUUUGUCUGCCUGCCAACACACAAAUCAAAUAAAUUUUAGGUCUCUUUGAUGACCAUUUUAUCUUUAAUUAGUUUUAUGUUUUUCAAAUUUAUAUGCAUAUUUUCUUCUAAAUUCUAACCUUUUUUUUUUUUAUGAAGAAAAUAAAUAAAUAAAAUUCUUGGUCAGAUUAUUAAAAAAAACCCUAAAAAAAUCUCAUUUAGGUUACACAUUCUUAGCAUUUUUAUCAUACCCCAACCCCAGACCAAAUUAAUAUAUUGCCAAUAAAAUACAAAAAGAGUUAAACCAAUUUAAAGAAACAGAAGAAACAUCAUAAUAGCAUAAUAGAGCAUUUUCUUUAGACCAGAAAGCCACAAGAGUAAAUGACCUAAACCAUUUCAUUUCAAAUUUUUUUCUAAUAAAUUCUUAAACUUGGUAGUAUAAUAUACAUUUGAAAAUAAGAAAUCUGUGAGAUAUAGCAGAUAUCAGCUACUACACAAUUUCACAGUUUUUGAGUGUCAAUUUUUGAAAAAAUAAGAAGAAACUGCAAGUAGACCCCUUUAAACUUUUUCUUUCUAAUUUGACCAUCAUAACAUUCAAAAUUAAAAUACACGAACUUAUAUAAAAAGUUAGAAUGAAAAAUAAGUAAUGAACUAAAGUGUAGUUAGUACACAAUACCUUGUUAAGGUCAGGGAUUAGAGCUGAAAGAGCAAUGAAUCUUUGGCUAAGCUUCUCCCUACGCUUUCUCUCAGCUAUCACAUGUUCUCUACCAUUCAUUGAACAACUUCUCUUCCCAUUAGUACAAUUCCAAUUUUUUACUGAUUCAUAAUUCCAAUUAUUCUCAAAGCUAAUUAUUUGCGAAGAUGAUAACGACGAAUCACCCUUAUGAUUAUUUCCAACAAAUGUGGUCUUACAUUUGUUUAUCCCCCCGCCCCCCGCCUCCACGUCCUCCUCCACCUUAACCCGCUUGGCCGGCCUUUCCUCCACCGCAUACGGCAGAACCGGCAAGUCAUACAAGUCAUCAAAUUGCAACGCAUCUAACGGAAACUCAAAUGGGUCUAUAUGAAAUUCAUCCAUAAACGGUGAAGCAUCUUCAAUUUCCUAAAAAGAAAAUAAGGAAAUAAAUAUACAUUUAUAGAAAAUUUUAAUUAACGAAUGAAAGAUUUAAUAAUGAAAAAUACCCAAUCAGAUAUCCAUUUCAGUGAUGAGAUCUCCAUUUAGAACUCAAUGGAAAAGAAAAAUAAAGUUAGAAAAAGGAAUUGGAUAGUUAUUUAUUGAUGAUUUGUGAGAAAGAGGGAAAAGGUGAAAGGGUUUUAUAGAAAUAAGAGAGACACGGUUUAUUGGGAAUAAUGAGGCACGUGUGAAAGAGUGGUAGAGUCAGCUUUCGGGUUCGUAUUUGGUCAAUGGAUUUCCGAAUUCUCUCACGUUUUGCCUCUUUCUUAAAACAAAUUUUAUUUAAUAACUUCAGGUCCUCUUUUCGCAGUCCAACUCCUUUAACUUUUUCUAAUUUCUAUUAUAACCCCAGAUAACACAUCAAAUUAAAUCACACGUAGACUCAUCCAAUAUUCAAAUUUGUGACCUUAUUUUAAAAAUAGGGGUGGUUUUGAAAAUUUGGCUUUAUUAUUCAAAAGACGCAUUCUUCAUCACAAGAAGACAAAAAAAAGUUUAGGCACAUUUUGUUGAUUGGUCACGAAUUUUGUCUCACUUGACACGUUGUAACCAGUCAUAAUAAUGAUUGCCAAUUCUCUCCAUUUGACCUUAUUUGAUUUAUCAAUCAAAAUUAUCUUUUAUAUCAAAUCAUCUCAUUAUCAACUCACCUUCACACUUCACACAAUUCUCUCAUAUAUUUUUCUCCAAUCCUUUCCUCCUUUCCUCCUUCCUCUCUGUUGUAAUUGGUCAAACUACAUUAGACGUUCUGGGAUUUUCAAUGACCCAUCUAUGAUUGAGAAUAUUAUCCCUCAAAUUAAUUUUUUUUAUAUAUAUAAAAAUGUUGAUGAAAAUUAAGAUGAGAAAAAGGCAGUAUUUCAUUCCUCAAUUUCUUCAUUUUUUUCCCUUUUAAUUUUCCCCAUUUUUUACUUGUAUCAUAAUGUUCUCACCUACCAAUGUGAACAAUUUUGUGGUGAGUUGUUUAGAAAUUUUACUUUGUGUUAUAGAGGAAAUAUGCUUUGAUUUACCCCAAAAGCCCUCCUCAAUUUCAAAACUCCCCUUUUGAAAAUUAAUCAGAAGCUAUAAAAAAAAAAGUGAAGGAUAACAAUAUAUUUAUUAAGAUUUAACUCUAUUAUUUUCUUUACUUCCUAUCAACUUUGUAGGAAAAUUUAUAUGGCAUUUUACUUUACCUUAUAAAUAUUUUCAACAUUUACAACAUUUUUCAAAUAAUAUCAAUAAUUUUUCGUUAAUGAUUUUUUAAAAAAGUAAAAGAUAAAAAGAAAACCCUAAAAGCUUGAAGAAUAAUUAUGACAAAAGGUGAACAAUAGAUGGAUAUCCAAUUGUCUCAUAUUGAUAUGGACACAAUGGAUUGUGUCUUUAAUAAAAAAAAUUUGUCGUAGAUAUUUAUACUAUGUUAAAAGUUGAGUGUUAUGUAUUUUCAGGUUCGUAGCUAAUAUGCACUUAAUUUUUAUUUUUAUUUUCUCUCUAACAUAGAAACUAAGGUAGUAGGUUAUAUAAUUAACCCAAUAAUAUAUAUAAUAAUAGUAAUUAAUGUGAAUGUAAUUCAUGGAUGGAAACAAGAAUAAUAAUAAAGUUAAAAAAAUGGAAAUAUCACAUGCCUUUGCUUUGCAUUGAUUAGUUUAUGUUUGGGAUAAGCGGCACGUGGGAAACAGGAACUUGAGAGGAAGGUGGUGCAAACUGCGGAGUGUUGAGAGUCCCUUACCCUGAGACUAAAGGAAUGCGCGGCUCCAUUCAGCUUCCUCCAAAUUCUCCCCAUACCCUAAAAUUAAUUGACCUGCGACCUUACCAAUCACAUCACCCCACGUAAGCCCACACCCCACACCCCACUCCAUACUCACUCAAUUAUUUGCAUCAUCAUUUUUUUAAUCAUACCCAUUUCACAAAAUAUACAUUAUAUUUAAACCAUCUCAUUUUUAUAUAUUACAUCUCAACACUUUACACUUAUUAUUUAAAUAUUUUUCUCUAACAUAAAGUAGAGCCAACUAAAUGUAAAAAA